rnacentral:lncRNA from 1 species
UUCUCAGCUCCAUUCCAGUCUCCAAAAAUCCCUUCCUAAAACGCCUCUGCCCAGGGCAGCGCUGGAGGAUUGUCACCGGGAAGGGACGGGCAAUUCCCAUUCCUGGAAAAGCUGGAAAAGCUGGAAAAGCUGGAAAAGCUGCCCAGCCCCGCCCCGGGGGUGACAAAGGUGACAGCGAGGAGGUGGCACCGAUCCCUGCGGGAGUGGCAGCUCCGCCUCCCCUCAAGGGUUAAAUCCAAACCAGCCCCGGCGUGGAGCAAGGGGAAACAAUUCCCGAGAUUUUGGGGAAAAUUCCCCGUUUCCCAGCAUGGAAAUUCCCCAUUUUCCAGCUCAGAAAUUCCCAUUUCUCAGCAAGGAAAUUCCCCGUUUUCCACCUCAGAAAUUCCCAUUUCUCACCAAGGAAAUUCCCCACUUUUCACCUCAGAAAUUCCCCAUUCCCCGUUCCUGCUGCUGCAAUCCCGGGGGAUUUGGGCUGGAAUCCUCUGGGGGAUUUGGGCUGGAAUCGUCCCGGGGAUUUGGGCUGGAAUCGUCCCGGGGAUUUGGGCUGGAAUCCUCCGGGGGAUUUGGGCUGGAAUCGUCCCGGGGAUUUGGGCUGGAAUCCUCCGGGGGAUUUGGGCUGGAAUCGUCCCAGGGAUUUGGGCUGGAAUCCUCCGGGGGAUUUGGGCUGGAAUCCUCCGGGGGAUUUGGGCUGGAAUCCUCCGGGGAUUUGGGCUGGAAUCGUCCCGGGGAUUUGGGCUGGAAUCCUCCAGGGAUUUGGGCUGGAAUCGUCCCGGGGAUUUGGGCUGGAAUCGUCCCGGGGAUUUGGGCUGGAAUCCUCUGGGGAUUUGGGCUGGAAUCCUCCGGGGAUUUGGGCUGGAAUCCUCCGGGGAUUUGGGCUGGAAUCCUCCGGGGAUUUGGGCUGGAAUCGUCCCGGGGAUUUGGGCUCCUGCCGCCCCUCGGGAUGAGGAUCCCGGCUGGGAAUUUCUCCCAGCUCCAGCAGGAUCCAAACUGGUGGGGUGGGAGGCGGGGGAGGACGAAAUGUUCCAUUUUUGUGUCCCCAGCGAAGCUCCUGCUGCCCCAACCUCUGCCACCUCUGCCACCCCUGCGUGCCACCCGCAGCUCAGGACCUGCUCCCGACAUUCCCGGGGCUCCCAAAAACGCGGAAUUUUACAAUUUUGGCCGAGGAGUUUGUGCCAGAGUCCGGCCGGGGCUGUUCCUCCUCCCUGCGGCGUCUCCGUGGGGUGGUGGCAGCAGGGAGGGGACAGGAGGGGACACUGAGGCAGGGCGGGGAGCAGAGAAUUCCAGGUGAGGAAAAACCCUCCCGGAAAGGCAAAAUCCCAACGGAGGCUGACGGAAAUAAACGCAAACGGAUCCGGGAGCGCUCCCCUCCU